UACGGAGGGGGCUAGCGUUGUUCGGAAUUACUGGGCGUAAAGCGCACGUAGGCGGCUUUGUAAGUUAGAGGUGAAAGCCCGGGGCUCAACCCCGGAAUUGCCUUUAAGACUGCAUCGCUAGAAUUGUGGAGAGGUAAGUGGAACUCCGAGUGUAGAGGUGAAAUUCGUAGAUAUUCGGAAGAACACCAGUGGCGAAGGCGACUUACUGGACACAUAUUGACGCUGAGGUGCGAAAGCGUGGGGAGCAAACAGG
rnacentral:rRNA from 1 species